rnacentral:rRNA from 1 species
GUAGGUGGCAAGCGUUGUCCGGAAUUAUUGGGCGUAAAGCGCGCGCAGGCGGGUUUUUUAAGGUCUGAUGUGAAAGCCCACGGGCUCAACCGUGGAGGGUCAUUGGAAACUGGAGAACUUGAGUACAGAAGAGGAAAGCGGAAUUCCACGUGUAGCGGUGAAAUGCGUAGAGAUGUGGAGGAACACCAGUGGCGAAGGCGGCUUUCUGGUCUGUAACUGACGCUGAGGCGCGAAAGCGUGGGGAGCAAACAGGAUUAGAUACCCUGGUAGUCCACGCCGUAAACGAUGAGUGCUAAGUGUUAGGGGGUUUCCGCCCCUUAGUGCUGCAGCUAACGCAUUAAGCACUCCGCCUGGGGAGUACGGCCGCAAAGGCUG